rnacentral:rRNA from 1 species
GACGAACGCUGGCGGCGUGCUUAAUACAUGCAAGUCGAACGGAAAGGCCCUGCUUUUGUGGGUUGCUCGAUUGGCGAACGGGUGAGUAACACGUGAGUAACCUGCCCUUGACUUUGGGAUAUCUUCAGGAAACUGGGGAUAAUACCGGAUAGGAGCUCCUGCUGCAUGGUGGUGAUUGGAAAGUUUCGGCGGUUGGGGAUGUACUCGCGGCUUAUCAGCUUGUUGGUGGGGUAGUGGCUUACCAAGGUUUUGACGGGUAGCCGGCCUGAGAGGGUGACCGGCCACAUUGGGACUGAGAUACGGCCCAGACGCCUACGGGAGGCAGCAGUGGGGAAUAUUGCGGAAUGGGCGGAAGCCUGAUGCAGCAACGCCGCGUGCGGGAUGACGGCCUUCGGGUUGUAAACCGCUUUCGCCUGUGACGAAGCGUGAGUGACGGUAAUGGGUAAAGAAGCACCGGCUAACUACGUG